rnacentral:rRNA from 1 species
GAUGAACGCUAGCUACAGGCUUAACACAUGCAAGUCGAGGGGCAGCAUGGUCUUAGCUUGCUAAGGCCGAUGGCGACCGGCGCACGGGUGAGUAACACGUAUCCAACCUGCCGUCUACUCUUGGACAGCCUUCUGAAAGGAAGAUUAAUACAAGAUGGCAUCAUGAGUCCGCAUGUUCACAUGAUUAAAGGUAUUCCGGUAGACGAUGGGGAUGCGUUCCAUUAGAUAGUAGGCGGGGUAACGGCCCACCUAGUCUUCGAUGGAUAGGGGUUCUGAGAGGAAGGUCCCCCACAUUGGAACUGAGACACGGUCCAAACUCCUACGGGAGGCAGCAGUGAGGAAUAUUGGUCAAUGGGCGAGAGCCUGAACCAGCCAAGUAGCGUGAAGGAUGACUGCCCUAUGGGUUGUAAACUUCUUUUAUAAAGGAAUAAAGUCGGGUAUGUAUACCCGUUUGCAUGUACUUUAUGAAUAAGGAUCGGCUAACUCCGUGCCAGCAGCCGCGGUAAUACGGAGGAUCCGAGCGUUAUCCGGAUUUAUUGGGUUUAAAGGGAGCGUAGAUGGAUGUUUAAGUCAGUUGUGAAAGUUUGCGGCUCAACCGUAAAAUUGCAGUUGAUACUGGAUAUCUUGAGUACAGUUGAGGCAGGCGGAAUUCGUGGUGUAGCGGUGAAAUGCUUAGAUAUCACGAAGAACUCCGAUUGCGAAGGCAGCCUGCUAAGCUGCAACUGACAUUGAGGCUCGAAAGUGUGGGUAUC